CUUUGAAGCCCACUCUGUUCGACGCUUCCCUGUUAGACUUCAAGAGCCGCUCCGUGCGGCUCGAUUUUUAUGGAGUC
rnacentral:sRNA from 1 species